UACGUAGGCACCAAGCGUUGUCCGGAUUUAUUGGGCGUAAAGAGCUCGUAGGCGGUUCGGGUAAGAUCGGGUGUGGAAAACUCUGGGCUCAACCCAGAGCCGCCACCCGAUACUGCUGUGGACUCGGAGUGCGGGUAGGGGAGGCGGGGAAUUCCUGGUGUAGCGGUGAAAUGCGUAGAUAUCAGGAGGAACACCGGUGGCGAAGGCGCUCAUCUGGCCCAAUACUGACGCUGGAAGCGACGAAAGCUACGGGGAGCAAACGGG
rnacentral:rRNA from 1 species